AUUGAACGCUGGCGGCAUGCCUUACACAUGCAAGUCGAACGGUAACGGGCCUUCGGGUGCCGACGAGUGGCGAACGGGUGAGUAAUGUAUCGGAACGUACCUUUCAGUGGGGGAUCACGUAGCGAAAGUUACGCUAAUACCGCAUAUUCUGUGAGCAGGAAAGCAUGGGAUCGCAAGACCUUGCGCUGAUGAUGCGGUCGAUAUCAGAUGAGCUAGUUGGUGGGGUAAAGGCUCACCAAGGCUACGAUUUGAAGCGGGUCUGGAAGGAUGAUCAGCCACACUGGAACUGAGACACGGUCCAGACUCCUACGGGAGGAAGCAGUGGGGAAUUUUGGACAAUGGGGGCAACCCUGAUCCAGCCAUGCCGCGUGAGUGAAGAAGGCCUUCGGGUUGUAAAGCUCUUUCGGCCGGGAAGAAAUCGUAUGGGUUAAUACCCUGUGCGGAUGACGGUACCGGCAUAAGAAGCACCGGCUAACUACGUGCCAGCAGCCGCCGUAAUAC
rnacentral:rRNA from 1 species